rnacentral:rRNA from 1 species
UGGGGGAUAUUGCACAAUGGGCGAAAGCCUGAUGCAGCGACGCCGCGUGGGGGAUGAAGGCCUUCGGGUUGUAGACUUCUUUUGCUCUGAACAAGGCAUGCUUUUGGGGUGUGUUGAGUGUAGGGGUUGAUUAGCGCCGGCUAACUACGUGCCAGCAGCCGCGGUAAUACGUAGGGCGCGAGCGUUGUCCGGAAUUAUUGGGCGUAAAGGGCUUGUAGGUGGCUGGUUGCGUCUGUCGUGAAAGCUCAUGGCUUAACUGUGGGUUUGCGGUGGGUACGGGCUGGCUUGAGUGCAGUAGGGGAGGCUGGAAUUCCUGGUGUAGCGGUGGAAUGCGCAGAUAUCAGGAGGAAUACCGGUGGCGAAGGCGGGUCUCUGGGCUGUUACUGACGCUGAGGAGCGAAAGCGUGGGGAGCGAACAGG